GGGAUGUAAUGGAAUAUUGAAAGGUUCAGAAGUUAAUUUCAACAAAUGGUAGAAUGCAAAGGAAAGUUUUAUGAUGAAACUUGUGCGGAUAAAAAGAAAUACAAGGCAAUAGCUGCCUCUCACCAAAGAUCCAGCAACCAGUCCUGAAAUACAUUCAUUCACAUAGACAUUUCUGCUAGCAAGCUUGGAAGGAGUGCUACUAUUCCACAAACUAGGAUUAUUGCAGGAGGAACUGGAAGUGUUUGGAUUUUCUUGAGUGUCGUUAAGUGCAUUUUUUUUGCAUGCAGCAUGGUUUAAAAUGAUCACUACACCUAAUUGACAGUGUCCAUGCACCUUUCUUAUCAGAUGGAGCAACUAGUAUUUCUGUGUGUAUUGCAUAAAACCAUGGCAUAACCUCUCUCUGUGUUGCAUUAUUAGGCACAAGGACAUCUAUAUUCAUAUAAAUGCAUUUUACAUACCUCAGCAUCAAGUGAAACACCCUGCCUUUCUCUUGUCCCCUUUCAUCAUUGGGAAAAAAAACAACCUUAUAUUCCUGGAAGACCCU
rnacentral:lncRNA from 11 species